GAUGAACGCUGGCGGCGUGCUUAAUACAUGCAAGUCGAGCGACCGGACGAGAAGCUUGCUUCUCUGAUGUUAGCGGCGGGCGGGUGAGUAACACGUGGAUAACCUACCUAUGAGACUGGGCUAACUUCGGGAAACCGGAUCUAAUACCGGAUGAUAUUUUGAACCGCAUGGUUCAAAAGUGAAAGCCGGUCUUGCUGUCACUUAUAGAUGUAUCCGCGCUGCAUUAGCUAGUUGGUAAGGUAACGGCUUACCAAGGCAACGAUGCAUAGCCGACCUGAGAGGAUGAUCGGCCACACUGGGACUGAGACACGGCCCAGACUCCUACGGGAGGCAGCAGUGGGGAAUUUUGCGCAAUGGGGGAAAGCCUGACCGAGCAACGCCGCGUGAGUGAUGAAGGUCUUCGGAUCGUAAAACGCUUUUAUUAGGGAAGAACAUAUGUGGAAUUAUCUGUGGAGAUCUUGACGGUACCGAAUCAAAAAGCCACGGCUAACUACGUG
rnacentral:rRNA from 1 species